CUGAGCCUCAGAGAGGUUAAUUUGUCCAUGAUUGCAUCAUAGUCAAUCAGGGAUGAACUUCAGUCCUUUCGUCUCUAAACCACAUACUUUUUCUUCAACGCAUUUCUGCCCACACCCUGCAGAGGUGAAUGGGGACAGGCCCUCUUUCCCACAGCCCACCGGCUUCUCUGCCUUGGCUGCCUUCUCUCAAAAGGACCUCUCCAUCCUGGACACAGGGCUGCUGAAGCAGCCCCACCUUCCUGGAUGUACCGUGGAGACAAAGAUACAAACUGCAAAUAUGUGUGAGAUUCAGCACACACAAGAUUCACAUCCAUCAGGCAUGUAAGAAUUUCUACAACUUGUCACUUUGUAUUCCAUGACCAACACCUCCAUCACCUGCAGCACAGGAAGGGAAGCUUCAUCGGGUUCAGACAUUCCAAAGCUGAAAGGUAACUCCACUCUAUGUAUGGUCUGAUCCACUGAGUUGCCUUCACAACGCACGCAGCUCUCCAAGAGCAGUAUUGUUUACCUCAGUGUCAGGUUCUCGAGGGAAACAUGACUUACAACUGUAUUCUCUUCGCAUAUAUGUUCCUCCUUUCUACUCUGUUACCUUACUCAAGUCCUCUAUGCCUUCUUCGUUUCCGUGAUCCAUAAGGCAGCGCUGUUGAGACUCCCUUAGUAAUUGCAUAUAUAUUCUUUUUGAAAUUCCUAGUAAAUUUUCAUUAUGCAUUUUAAUGCUAUUUGGCACUAAGUUUUAUUUUUGCACUCAUGAUUGUACCUCUUAUCGAUACGGUUCUCAUGAUCACAGUCAAGGUUGUUUUGUUUGCUGGCUUUAAAUUCCUAGUCCAGCAUGAACGGUCAUUCCAGUUUCCGGAGAAGCAGUGUAGCACCAUGAACAUGCCUUCCAGUCAGACCUAAAUGCAAACUGAAGUCAUG